ACUUUUUGCGUUGAAAGCUGGAAAAUAAAAACCAAAAACAGAAACAGCCGCGUCCCACGAACCCGUCUUCUCCCAACCUCCUCGAUCUUGAUCUCCUCCAUCUCGUGAGUCGUGACGCACCCACGAUCUCCCCUCUCUUCUGCACGAUCUAGCCAUGCGCACAGGGAGGGUGGUCAACGAGUGCAAGCGGAGGUGAGAGGUGCUCGUGGCACAGUACAGGGAGGUGCGGCACAGAUUGCUGCUCGACAGGGAGGUGCGGCACAGAUUGCUGCUCCACAUCCUGCCGCAGGGGAGAUUCCCGAUAGCCACCGCACAGCUCCCCCUCCUCGUCGUGACUGCGUUGGUUCUGAUGUGCCCGACCCACGCGUCCAGAAAGUGUGGAUUUCUCAUAUGUUCUCG
rnacentral:lncRNA from 1 species